ensembl:lncRNA
CACAGCUCUUCUCCUAUUGGACAGGCUUGACUUUGGGUUCAUGCUAGCUAGUCAUACCCCCAGAAGGCACCAUAACAACACAAAACAAAGGUAAACAAGAAAACCAGGGGGUCAGUGGGCUGAACCAGCCUGGGAGAGAACUUAGACGGCCCCAAAGAGAAGAAAAGGAACUUCGCUAGGCUGUAUUUUUGGUCAUUUAUCUAGCUAACAGAAACCAAACGGCUAAACUGGUAAACUAGGCGUGGCAACGUAAGCGCGCGCACGUUCUAAGCUGUUCUUCCUCCCGGAGGAACCCACCCCAAAACAGUUAGAACAGACAGUGACUUCGCCAAGUAAAGGAAUUAACAGUGUUAGAACAGUAGAGUUACUGUGUAUAACAGACUAAAUAACUGAACAAGUCCGCGUUCUCCAGUAAACAGAGCCGCAGAGCCUCAGCCAGACAAGCGAGCGAGCGGCGGGGCUGAGGCGCAGUUUUUAAAGUCGAAGUCCCGCCCCUCCUGGUCAUAUCGUGCUCUCUGAUUGGGCGAAAGGAGACCGUGAAGAGUGACACUUCGACCCGCCUAUAAGAGGAAGGGAGGUAGGAGCGGAGUGGAAAAGACGAGGGAGAGGAAUAAAGGACGCGCUCACUGUAUCACUGGGACCAUGAAGAGGUCAGUGUUUGUGGAGUUUGCCCUGUUUGCUCUCAUUCCUCUGAGUGAGGCCGGCUGCUGGCACGGCGUGCUUAAAAAGGGUGCGACUCAUUGUCAGGAUGGUGUGGAUAAGACCUGGCACCCUGUGGGAUCAUCCUGGACCAACAGCAGAUGUGUCCAGUGUGACUGUGACAGUGCUUCAUUGACCUGCUGUUAUGGAAUGCCAAGAGUUGGGAAAUUUGCAGACGACUGCACCGUGGAGUACAAUUAUGACACCUGCACAUAUAAAGUGUUCAAAAAGAGUGAUCCAACAAUUGAGUGCCCUCACGCUGCUGUUCUUAAGUGAUCAUCAAGAAAUGCAGCAUUCAGUAGUGCUGUACACCAGGUCAUUCUGACCGAAGCAUUCUUAGAAAUCAAGCUCAAGCGAAGUACAAGUACUCAGAUAUCUAUAUUCAUAAAAUAUCUGCAAAAGUAUGCAAGUAUAACUGAAUAAGUAAUUUAAGCCAAUUAGUCCUGAUACAGGAUAUAAGAACUCAUUCACAUACAGAAACAUGGACACUUUAAAUACUGCAUAGCUAAUCUUGCUUAAAGAAAAUGCAUUACAGCCUUGAACACUAAUAGUAUUGCAGAUUUUUGACACAUUAAAAUGAAUCAAUUUCCUCUCUGCUCCAUUGUGCUGUCAUUCCUUCAAUGAUCCCGUCUUGUGUAUAAGUGCUGUAUAGUUCAUUUACGGUGCUAUUUUUUUCAUAUAGGAACCAAUAGAAAACCUGUUUUGGACUUUAGUUUAAAAUGGAUGUGGGAGGACGAUCAAUAAAGAAUAAUGUGGGUUCACUGUAAAAACAGAUAUGCAGGUAUUUUAUAUCAGAAUGAUCAGAUUAUUUAACAUGCUGUGAUCUGUGAGUAAAAACACUUAGAUAACAUACAUGAGCUCAGCAGUUCCUGAGGUGGGAUAUACACAGUACUUGGUGCAACUACACUGUAUUAGUGCAAAAAAGCAUUAAAACAGGAGUGUGUGUGUGUGUGUGUGUGUGUGCAUGUGUGAGUGUGUGUGAGUGUAGAAUAUGUGUGUGUGAGGGGGCUUACAGUUCGGUCAAAAACGUGAUUGUUU